GCUACAGGCUGUAGAAACCACUCAACUGUGACGAUGAGGUGUAUGACCUGAUGGGGCAGUGCUGGAGGGAAAAGCCCUACAAGAGACCCUCAUUCCAACAGAUACUGGUCUCCCUCAAAAGGAUGCUGGAGGAGAGGAAGACGUAUGUCAACACCAGUCUGUAUGAGAAGUUCACCUACGCCGGUAU